GGGCAGUUGGCGCAGCGGAAGCGCACCUCCCUUACAAGGAGGGGGUCAUAGGUUCAAAUCCUAUACUGCCCA
rnacentral:tRNA from 1 species